rfam:Myotis lucifugus cont2.16053, whole genome shotgun sequence.
UGCGGUUCUUGGGUGACACACCUGGAACCAGAGAGGAGGGAGCCUGAUUCCAGGGUGCAUCACCCGAGAACUGCC